CCUACGGGAGGCAGCAGUGGGGAAUAUUGCACAAUGGAGGGAACUCUGAUGCAGCGAAGCAGCGUGAGUGAAGAAGUAAUUCGUGAUGUUAAGCUCUAUCAGCAGGGAAGAAAGAGACGGUACCUGAAAAAGAAGCUCCGGCUAAAUACGUGCCAGCAGCCGCGGUAAUACGUAUGGAGCAAGCGUUAUCCGGAUUUAAGGGGUGUAAAGGGAGAGUAGGUGGCCUAGCAAGUCCGAAGUGAACGCCCAAAGCUCAACUAUGGGAAUGCUUUCGAAACUGCUCAGCUAGAGUGCAGGAGAGGCAAGUGGAAUUCUUAGUGUAGCGGUGAAAUGCGUAGAUAUUAGGAGGAACACCAGUGGCGAAGGCAGCUUGCUGGACUGUAACUGACACUGAGGCUCGAAAGCGUGGGGAGCAAACAGGAUUAGAUACCCUAGUAGUC
rnacentral:rRNA from 1 species